CAAUGGUUGAACUAAUUUAGACGUCCAUUGACGGCGUAGAGGUUAAUCCUAAGAAUGGUUACAUGAGCUUGGAAGGAGACCCUUCCGCAGCUGAGCCUUAGCCUGGGCCAUCACCUACAUCUGGACUGAAGACCCAGAGAAACUACUCCAUCAGGAAUUGUUUGGGACCAUGCAUUCUGUUGCCCACAGCCAACCCGAAAGCCACCAAGGUAGCAGUACUCCUGUGAACCACGUCUGAGUGGAGUAAUGAUGGCACCACAUUCCAGCCUGCAUGGGUAUUGGCCUGAGUGCUCCUGCCUCAUGAAAUUCAGCCACCUCUUUCUCCAGUCAGUUCCAUCUUCUCAACUCCAACUGUCUUCCAGAGUCCGUGUCACACCACAGCCUGGAAACUCUCCCCAAGCAGUAACCUGAAGCAACAGUAAACCCUCAUUGUUUCGCCUCUCUCGGAUGUCACUUCCUUCAUUGUUUGAUGUGCACUGUCUUGCAAUCCAUCCUUCCAGAUGAAUCAUCCAUUUUUAAAUGUGAUAAGCCAUGUCCAAUCCCCAUAAGUUUUACCACAACAUUUUGUUUCAUUCUUCCUGCAGUUACUCCAUCAUUACUGUACCACCGCCUAUAUGGAUGUAAUUGUCAGUGUGAAGCUGAGUAAGGAACAACGUGCACCAGUCUCACAGAGAAAAAUGGACAAGCGAGCUGGCCUUUGUAUCACUAAAGGGAAGUACUCCCGUGAACCAUGUCUGAGUGGAGUAAUGAUGGCACCACAGUCCAGCCUGCAUGGGUGUUGGCCUGAGUGCUCCCGUCUCAUGAAAUUCAGCCACCUCUUUCUCCAGUCAGUUCCAUAUUCUCAACUCCGACUGUCUUCCAGAGUCCGUGUUACACCACAGCCUGGAAACUCUCCCCAAGCAGUAACCUGAAGCAACAUUACUCCAUCAUUACUGUAUCACCGCCUGUAUGGAUGUAGUUGUCAGUGUGAAGCUGAGUAAGGAACAACGUGCACCAGUCUCACAGAGAAAAAUGGACAAGCGAGCUGGCCUUUGUAUCACUAAAGGGAAGGUUUGGAAUAAUUCAUCAGUGUAAUCUUCUCAACCUGGUCAAUCACAUGAACUUAGAAGAUGAUUCCUCCCCAGCUGAUCCUUCAGGGUCUCAAGCCACCCGGGCUGGAGUGCAGUGGCACAGUUAUGGC